UGGGGAAUAUUGCACAAUGGAGGGAACUCUGAUGCAGCGACGCCGCGUGAACGAAGAAGGCUUUCGAGUCGUAAAGUUCUUUUAUAUGGGAAGCUAAUGACGGUACCAUAAGAAAAAGCCCCGGCUAACUACGUGCCAGCAGCCGCGGUAAUACGUAGGGGGCUAGCGUUGUCCGGAAUCACUGGGCGUAAAGGGUUCGCAGGCGGAAAUGCAAGUCAGGUGUAAAAGGCAGUAGCUUAACUACUGUAAGCAUUUGAAACUGCAUAUCUUGAGAAGAGUAGAGGUAAGUGGAAUUUUUAGUGUAGCGGUGAAAUGCGUAGAUAUUAAAAAGAAUACCGGUGGCGAAGGCGACUUACUGGGCUCAUUCUGACGCUGAGGAACGAAAGCGUGGGUAGCAAACAGG
rnacentral:rRNA from 1 species